rnacentral:misc_RNA from 1 species
GACGAGGGGUCCAAGCGUUGUUCGGAAUUAUUGGGCGUAAAGCGGGUGUAGGUGGCAUGGUAAGUCAGAUGUGAAAGCCCUGGGCUCAACCCAGGAAGCGCAUUUGAAACUGCUUUGCUUGAGUGUGGCAGAGGAUAGUGGAAUUCCUGGUGUAGUGGUGAAAUACGUAGAUAUCAGGAGGAACAUCGGUGGGGAAGCCGGCUGUCUGGGCCAACACUGACACUCAGACCCGAAAGCGUGGGGAUCAAACAGG